UACGAAGGGUGCAAGCGUUACUCGGAAUUACUGGGCGUAAAGCGUGCGUAGGUGGUCGUUUAAGUCUGUUGUGAAAGCCCUGGGCUCAACCUGGGAACUGCAGUGGAAACUGGACGACUAGAGUGUAGUAGAGGCAGGUGGAAUUCCGGGUGUAGCGGUGGAAUGCGUAGAGAUCCGGAAGAACACCGGUGGCGAAGGCGGCCUGCUGGGCUAUGGCUGACACUGAGGCGCGACAGCGUGGGGAGCAAACAGG
rnacentral:rRNA from 1 species